ACAGUACUACAAACUCUGCUGCUUCAAUAUAAGAGAUUUUUCAUUUUACAGUAUUGGAGUUCUCAUAUCCAACAUAGCGAUGGUGAUGGAAAACUAUUUCAAUUUGGAGGCUCUAGGAAAGGUCAGGAGGCAUUCAGGGAAAAGUAUACAGGAGACAUCUGGGAUUUUUGCAAGGGAACUUAGUUUUUCUUUUUCCCAAGAUCUACACUAGAGGGCACCUGCUAAGCGGGAUAUCAGGCAUCAGUGAGGCCACUCCAGAAAUGGCAGCAACUUUGGAC